rnacentral:rRNA from 1 species
AUGAACGCUGGCGGCGUGCCUAACACAUGCAAGUCGAGCGAUUUACUUCGGUAAAGAGCGGCGGACGGGUGAGUAACGCGUGGGUAACCUGCCCUGUACACACGGAUAACAUACCGAAAGGUAUGCUAAUACGAGAUAAUGUACUUUUGUCGCAUGGCAAAAGUAUCAAAGCUCCGGCGGUACAGGAUGGACCCGCGUCUGAUUAGCUAGUUGGAGAGGUAAUGGCUCACCAAGGCGACGAUCAGUAGCCGACCUGAGAGGGUGAUCGGCCACAUUGGAACUGAGACACGGUCCAAACUCCUACGGGAGGCAGCAGUGGGGAAUAUUGCACAAUGGGCGAAAGCCUGAUGCAGCAACGCCGCGUGAGCGAUGAAGGCCUUCGGGUCGUAAAGCUCUGUCCUCAAGGAAGAUAAUGACGGUACUUGAGGAGGAAGCCCCGGCUAACUACGU